AGCAUCAGUUAAUCCUCCACCACAGAUUUCAAGGCACUGGAGAUUCUUGAAGUCUGCUUGGCACGAAGACAUUUGGGAGUUAAAGCAGAUGAAUUGUACCACAAGUCAAAAAUAAUAGCAUAAUAAGGCUGUAGUUUAAACAAAGAAAGGAAUCAGGUAUUGUUAAAUAAAAAGAUGUAACAAAAUAAAAAAGCAAGUUGGAUUUAAGUUGAUAACAAUCAGUGAUUAUUCAGAGCCAUUAUUGGUACUGGAUAUCAUUAAACUGGCUGUUCUGGUGUUCCAAAAAAACAAAUGCAUAAAUAUUAUAUUGCAUGCAUGCACACACACACAGGGACUAAAUAAAAUGCUAUAACAUACCAAUUAAAAGUUCUAAAUUAUCAAGUUAACAUAAAAAGCUUAAGAAAAAUAAAAUCUAUCAUAUUUCAUAUAAUACGUCUUGGUUGGUAUGCAUUGAGAAAUUUUGGUUGAAAAUUAGCUGAAGCCAGACCAAGUGACAAACAGAUGAAGAUCUUUACCAGAACAAAACAUGAAGAUAUUUGUUCCCUUUUAUUGGCCAGAACAAGAUGUCUCGACUGUUCUGGCAGCGUAAUGACAUUGACUAAUUAUAACAAGAGUAUUCAUACAGUGGUAGCAUGUAUUCUUACAUAGCAAAGAAUUUGUUCCAGCAUCUGAAAUGCGAGCCCCAAAGAGAUCUAGAUGUAUCAAUCCUGUCAGUUUUGUAAGAGCUGCAAGUCCAGCAUCUGUAAUUUGUCGAGCAUCCAAGUUCAGUGAUCUAAGAGAUGUCAAUUCAGAUAGCUUCUUUAAACCACUGUCAGUUACUAAGGUGAAUGACAGAUUUAAGUCCUCCAGAUGAGUUAAACCAGAAAGAUGGCGGAGCCCAUUGCUUCCAACAUCAGUAUCAGACAACUCCAAACUUUUAAGUGGAAGGCCAGUCAAAUUAGCAAGCCCUUCAUCACCAAUCUGACAAGAAUCCAAGUUCAAGCUUUCCAAAUUUGUUAGGCCUUUUAGAUGCACCAGACAUGCAUCUGUUAUAUUGUUAAAUCCCAAGCUCAACACCUUCAAGUUUUUUAGUCCUGCAGGCAUAUGAUUUAUAUAGUGAACUAAGGACCACCUGCGCCAUGCAAUAUAUAGAAAAAUAAUACAUUCCAUUAACAAUAGGGUUGAUCCAUUUAUAAGCCAAAUUUUGCUCACCAGAAAAUUUAUCCCACCCAUCAUCAGAUAGACCACAUCUGUUCAGAUUUAAAUAUGCAAGGGCAACAAGAGCAGAGAUAGAAUCCAAGCAUCUGGUGGUAACAUUGCAUCCCUCUAAGUUCAACAUAAUCAGCUUCGGCAACCCUCUCAAAUAAGAAACUCCCAAAUCAGUGAUGUUGCUGUUGGAAACUUGCAACUCCUUCAGGCUAGUGAGACCUGAGAGAGCCUUCAUGUCCAAAUCAGUAAUACAUUUGCAACAUCUAAUAUUAAGAGACUCCAGUUUCAUAAGUCCUUUAAGAUGAACAAGUCCACCAUGAAUCCGGGGACACCUCUCCAAGUCCAACUUUUCUAAGUUAACUAAACUGGAAAAGGCACGCAUCCCUUCAGCAGUAACAGCAUUGCACUUUUUGAAACUCAAAGAUGUCAAGUUGGUAAGACCACUAACGUGUUUCAGCCCACGUUCAGAAAUGUGGUCACAAUGGUUUAGAAUCAUCGCUUGGAGGUUUGAACAAUCUUUGAGAAGACCCAAUCCAGUAUCUGUGACAUCAGAAUCAGAAAGGUCUACAGAAAGUAAAGAUGUUCCUUGUGAAGAGACAACCUUCAUCCAGCUAUCCUUCACUCCAGGAUAUUCACCCAAAAGGACAUCCUGGAGAGCACAAUCUCUGAAUGCUUCAAAAGAAGCAUCAGUAAGAAAAUGUGAAAAUACCAAGUCAUUAAAGAUUUGCUGACUUAUAUCCCUUGGCAGCAUUGAAAAUGAGCCAUAUUUCUCAAUAUCCUCGCGUAUUUUGUGUAUGCAUAAGUCCAUGAGGGUUGGGCAACUGCCUCCUGGCUGGAAGUCUGCAACCUGUCGAGGAAGUGAGGCUCCCAGCCAUUUUGAACUUCCACUUUUGCUGUACCUUCCACAGACUCCACUUCUGACACCGUCCUCAAUUACCUGUUGUUCUCUCUUCCUUGAACAAAUUCCACCCAUUGAUUGAUUAUUUUACCGGUUAAUGUUCAUCUCAAUAAGGGGGAGGAAGAAUAGCUGGAACCCUUUAACAAAGCUAAGCAUAUAACAUUAAGAUCGAUUCAUCCUAUAAGAAAAAGGAAGCUCUAAGGGGAGAGAAUCCAUAGCAAGAACUGAUAAUAAGCUUCAAUUAUUAUA
rnacentral:misc_RNA from 1 species